UACGAAGGGGGCUAGCGUUGUUCGGAUUUACUGGGCGUAAAGCGCACGUAGGCGGUUUGUUAAGUCAGAGGUGAAAUCCCACAGCUCAACUGUGGAACUGCCUUUGAUACUGGCAAGCUAGAGUCCGGAAGAGGUAAGUGGAACUCCUAGUGUAGAGGUGGAAUUCGUAGAUAUUAGGAAGAACACCAGUGGCGAAGGCGGCUUACUGGUCCUUGACUGACGCUGAGGCGCGAAAGCGUGGGGAGCAAACAGG
rnacentral:rRNA from 1 species